rnacentral:rRNA from 1 species
AGAGUUUGAUCAUGGCUCAGAUUGAACGCUGGCGGCAGGCCUAACACAUGCAAGUCGAGCGGUAGCACAGAGAGCUUGCUCUCGGGUGACGAGCGGCGGACGGGUGAGUAAUGUCUGGGAAACUGCCUGAUGGAGGGGGAUAACUACUGGAAACGGUAGCUAAUACCGCAUAACGUCGCAAGACCAAAGUGGGGGACCUUCGGGCCUCAUGCCAUCAGAUGUGCCCAGAUGGGAUUAGCUAGUAGGUGGGGUAACGGCUCACCUAGGCGACGAUCCCUAGCUGGUCUGAGAGGAUGACCAGCCACACUGGAACUGAGACACGGUCCAGACUCCUACGGGAGGCAGCAGUGGGGAAUAUUGCACAAUGGGCGCAAGCCUGAUGCAGCCAUGCCGCGUGUGUGAAGAAGGCCUUCGGGUUGUAAAGCACUUUCAGUGGGGAGGAAGGCGUUAAGGUUAAUAACCUUGGCGAUUGACGUUACCCGCAGAAGAAGCACCGGCUAACUCCGUGCCAGCAGCCGCGGUAAUACGGAGGGUGCAAGCGUUAAUCGGAAUUACUGGGCGUAAAGCGCACGCAGGCGGUCUGUCAAGUCGGAUGUGAAAUCCCCGGGCUUAACCUGGGAACUGCAUUCGAAACUGGCAGGCUAGAGUCUUGUAGAGGGGGGUAGAAUUCCAGGUGUAGCGGUGAAAUGCGUAGAGAUCUGGAGGAAUACCGGUGGCGAAGGCGGCCCCCUGGACAAAGACUGACGCUCAGGUGCGAAAGCGUGGGGAGCAAACAGGAUUAGAUACCCUGGUAGUCCACGCCGUAAACGAUGUCGAUUUGGAGGUUGGCCCUUGAGGCGUGGCUUCCGGAGCUAACGCGUUAAAUCGACGCCUGGGGAGUACGGCCGCAAGGUUAAAACUCAAAUGAAUUGACGGGGGCCCGCACAAGCGGUGGAGCAUGUGGUUUAAUUCGAUGCAACGCGAAGAACCUUACCUGGUCUUGACAUCCACAGAACUUUCCAGAGAUGGAUUGGUGCCUUCGGGAACUGUGAGACAGGUGCUGCAUGGCUGUCGUCAGCUCGUGUUGUGAAAUGUUGGGUUAAGUCCCGCAACGAGCGCAACCCUUAUCCUUUGUUGCCAGCGGUCCGGCCGGGAACUCAAAGGAGACUGCCAGUGAUAAACUGGAGGAAGGUGGGGAUGACGUCAAGUCAUCAUGGCCCUUACGACCAGGGCUACACACGUGCUACAAUGGCAUAUACAAAGAGAAGCGACCUCGCGAGAGCAAGCGGACCUCAUAAAGUAUGUCGUAGUCCGGAUUGGAGUCUGCAACUCGACUCCAUGAAGUCGGAAUCGCUAGUAAUCGUAGAUCAGAAUGCUACGGUGAAUACGUUCCCGGGCCUUGUACACACCGCCCGUCACACCAUGGGAGUGGGUUGCAAAAGAAGUAGGUAGCUUAACCUUCGGGAGGGCGCUUACCACUUUGUGAUUCAUGACUGGGGUGAAGUCGUAACAAGGUAACCGUAGGGGAACCUGCGGUUGGAUCACCU